GACGAACGCUGGCGGCGUGCUUAACACAUGCAAGUCGAACGGUGAAGCGCCUUCCUUUUUGGUGGGUGUGGAUGAGUGGCGAACGGGUGAGUAACACGUGAGUAACCUGCCCCCUUCUUCUGGAUAACCGCAUGAAAGUGUGGCUAAUACGGGAUAUUCUGGGUCUGUCGCAUGAUGGGUCUGGGAAAGAUAUUGUUUCGGUGGGGGAUGGGCUCGCGGACUAUCAGCUUGUUGGUGGGGUGAUGGCCUACCAAGGCGGUGUCGAGUAGCCGGGCUGGGAGGGUGGGCGGUAACAGUGGGGAUAAGACGCGGAGAAGACUCCGACAGGAGGCAGCGGUGGGGAAUAUGGCACAAUGGGCGCAAGGCUGAUGCAGCGACGCGGCGGGGGGGAUGGAGGCCUUGGGGUUGUGAACCUCUUUCGCCAGUGAAGCAGGCCUGCCUCGUUUGUGGGUGGGUUGACGGUAGCUGGAUAAGAAGCGCCGGCUAACUACGUG
rnacentral:rRNA from 1 species